rnacentral:rRNA from 1 species
UACGUAGGGGGCGAGCGUUGUCCGGAUUUAUUGGGCGUAAAGAGCGCGUAGGCGGCCAGGUAGGUCCGACGUGAAAUCUCGAGGCUCAACCUCGAGCGGUCGUUGGAUACCGACUGGCUAGAGUCCGGAAGAGGAGAGUGGAAUUCCUGGUGUAGCGGUGAAAUGCGCAGAUAUCAGGAAGAACACCUAUGGCGAAAGCAGCUCUCUGGGACGGUACUGACGCUGAGGCGCGAAAGCGUGGGGAGCGAACAGG